rnacentral:rRNA from 1 species
AGAGUUUGAUCCUGGCUCAGGACGAACGCUGGCGGCGUGCCUAACACAUGCAAGUCGAACGGUCCAGUGUCUAACACCGAGUAUUUUAGGAGCUCGUAAGUUGGUGCCUUGCGAGAGCGCGAAGAAUGAGCGCUCCACGCAUUAAAAAAGUGCCAACACAAAGCGGAGAAUACUGGGUGUUAGAUGCUGGAUAGUGGCGGACGGGUGAGUAACGCGUGGGUAACCUACCUAUAAGACCGGGACAACCCUUGGAAACGAGGGCUAAUACCGGAUACGCUUAAGAGUUGGCAUCAGCUUUUAAGGAAAGAUGGCCUCUGAACAUGCUAUCGUUUAUAAAUGGAUCCGCGUCUGAUUAGCUAGUUGGUGGGGUAAAGGCCUACCAAGGCGACGAUCAGUAGCCGGCCUGAGAGGGUGAACGGCCACACUGGGACUGAGACACGGCCCAGACUCCUACGGGAGGCAGCAGUGGGGAAUCUUCCGCAAUGGACGAAAGUCUGACGGAGCAACGCCGCGUGUACGAUGAAGGCCUUCGGGUUGUAAAGUACUGUCUUCAGGGACGAAUGGUACCUAUGAAAAUAUUGUGGGUACAUGACGGUACCUGAGGAGGAAGCCCCGGCUAACUACGUGCCAGCAGCCGCGGUAAUACGUAGGGGGCAAGCGUUGUCCGGAAUCAUUGGGCGUAAAGGGCGCGUAGGCGGAUACUUAAGUCUGGUGUGAAAACUUGGGGCUCAACCCCAAGCCUGCAUCGGAAACUGGGUAUCUUGAGGACAGGAGAGGAAAGUGGAAUUCCACGUGUAGCGGUGAAAUGCGUAGAUAUGUGGAGGAACACCAGUGGCGAAGGCGACUUUCUGGACUGUAACUGACGCUGAGGCGCGAAAGCGUGGGGAGCAAACAGGAUUAGAUACCCUAGUAGUCC